AGGCUGUGAUAAUUGGGGGCAUUUCAGGACCAAGACGAGGGGGCCGGCAGAACGCGGACUUGUCUCCCUGCACCUUGAUGCCGAGGGGGUCAGGAAGAGACCCCAGAGGGAUGUGCUGCGGGGACUGCAGCUGACAGCCCUCGCAGCAGCCCGGCGCCCCUCUCCACCCGCGGGGCGGUAGCGCGUGUGUGCGCGAGAGCGGCGGGCGGCGGCAGGAGGAGGCGCAGGCGCGCUGCUCUCCCGUCUGCAGCCCCGCGCCGAGCGCCGCGUCUCGGGAGUUGAUGGCAGCACCACAGUGCGGACGCCUGGCCGAUCGCGGAGCGCAGCCAUCCGCCGCUGCCCAGGGAGCGCCCAAGAUGUUGGGGGACCGGGGUGGAAGCGGCUGUAGCAGCGCCAGAGAAGGGGGCGCGCAGCAGCCUCUGCUCGCCCGCCUGUCCUGACCUGCCUCGCUUGCCCCCAAAGAAUGUCAGCCAAGUCCAAGGGGAACCCCUCCUCGUCCUCUCCAGCCGAGGGACCGCCGGCAGCCUCCAAAACCAAGGUGAAGGAACAAAUCAAGAUUAUCGUGGAGGAUCUGGAAUUAGUCCUGGGCGACCUGAAGGACGUGGCCAAAGAACUUAAGGAGGUGGUUGACCAGAUUGAUACCCUGACCUCUGACCUACAGCUGGAGGAUGAGAUGACCGACAGCUCCAAAACAGACACGCUGAAUAGUAGCUCCAGUGGCACCACAGCCUCCAGCAUAGAGAAGAUCAAAGUGCAGGCUAAUGCACCACUCAUUAAACCUCCAGCACACCCAUCUGCUAUCCUCACCGUCCUGAGAAAGCCAAACCCUCCACCACCUCCUCCACGGUUGACACCUGUGAAGUGUGAAGACCCUCAAAGGGUGGUGCCAACUGUCAAUCCUGUCAAGACCAAUGGCACCCUUCUGCGGAAUGGAGGCUUACCAGGUGGACCCAAGAAAAUUCCAAAUGGAGAUAUCUGCUGCAUACCCAAUAGUAACUUGGACAAGGCUCCAGUGCAGCCUCUGAUGCACAGACCUGAAAAAGACAGGUGUCCCCAGGCAGGGCCCCGGGAACGAGUACGGUUUAAUGAAAAAGUGCAGUACCAUGGCUAUUGUCCUGACUGUGAUAUUCGGUAUAACAUAAAAAACAGGGAGAUCCACUUACACAAUGAACCUCUCCACCCACCAGGAAAGAUUCCUCUCCAAGGCCCUCCCCUCCCUCCUCCACCCCACCUCCCUCCUUUCCCCCUAGAAAAUGGGGGACUAGGAAUAAGCCACAGUAACAGCUUCCCCCCUCUCAGACCUGCAACUGUGCCUCCUCCCACUGCACCAAAACCACAGAAGACCAUCUUGAGGAAAUCAACCACUACAACAGUGUGAUGUAUGCCAUUUAAAAAACUUUUUGGUUUUAUUUUUAUUUUCUAUAUUAUAAGCAUAAAAUAAUAAGUAAUGAGCACUUUCUACUCAAGCAAUAAAAAGCCCAAAUAAACUAAUCCUGCAUUCAACAAAGUGGCAAAAAAUCCACCUGCUCCUUCAGGUUGGAAGGAAUACCUUUAUUUGGAGGCAUGUCGAUUCAUUUUUCUCACUGCAGAUUCAUCAUUAUGACUUCUUGAGGCCCGAACUAAUUGUAAAGUAACCAGGAAUCUGAUCAUCCCAGAGGAGCAAAUUCCCCAACUUUGGAGCACAAAUGAUCACUGUAGAAUCACAUAAAAUCAUCUGCCUCUAGUCUGACAUCUGUGAGCAGAGCCCUGGGGAAAAACCACAGCCUUAAAUCUCUUCACUCACAAAUUACCAAGAAGAUAAAAUAUAUAGAUGAAAAGGACUAAGUAAAAAGCCAAUGAAUAAAUAAAAACCAAACAAAACUCAUUUUACCAUGGAAAUAAAAUAUUCCUGACUAUGAGCCCCUCAAGUUUAAAAUGCAACAAUUAAUCUAGAAAAUUGCAAAUUGAUUUAUCAUUUUGGAAGGUAAAUGGACAGAGAUAGAAGGUAUCUUGUGUCAAAAUUACUCAUCAUUUCAAAAUACGUAGACAAAAAUAGAACUGAACAAGCAGGAACACUGCGGCAUUGCAAGGUGUUAGAACAGAAGGUUGCUGUUUGCAGAAAAGAGGAUGUUUGCCAUCUUGUAUACACCCUCAAAGCCAUAAUGGAAUAACAGCAUUGUUACCAAUUGCUUGCAGAGUUUCCACAUUUGAUCUUCACCCCACAUUGGUUAAGAGAGAGGGGAGGUCAGUUCUUACUGAUCGCUUCUCCAUGCACCCGAAUAUUUGCACUGUCCCUUCCAUUCAGGGUAAUGAUGUAUGUUGUUUAUUUGCACAGAUGGGCCUAUGAGUUUUGAGACCAGAGCAAGUUGUUUCUUGCAGGAGUCCAAAAAAGAAAAUCUUGAGAAUUCUCAAGACAUUGGUUUCUCUUUCUCCUAUAAAAUUCAGUUAUCUAAAGAAAUGUAACUGUCUCAGAUUUUUGUUUUUAAAUCUAAAGAAUAUUAAUGAAAAAAUCAGUGUGGACAAAUGAAUGAAAAAGUUAAAAAAAAUUUUAAUGAAUAUCAUUUUAUAUCAUUCACAGCCAAGAAGUCUAGUACAGUGAACUGCACACUAAACCUUUCUGUUGAACAUCUAUUUGUUCUCUUACUUAAUUAAAGUCACUUGUAAUUUGUAUUUGACAUAUAACAGUUUUUUAUAACCAUUUAUCUAUGCUUCAUGGGAAAAUGUACCAGACAAGCAAACAGCAUUUUCAGUUUAUUUUUCUAAAUAAAUGUGUUGUUU